CAACACUGGGACUGAGACACUGCCCAAACUCCUACGGGAGGCUGCAGUCGAGAAUCUUUCGCAAUGGGCGAAAGCCUGACGAAGCGACGCUGCGUGAGUGAUGAAGGCUUUCGGGUUGUAAAACUCUUCGCGCAAGAGCAAAGUGGGUUAGGUGGGUUAGUGAAUAACUGAUUCAUAUGAGAGUACUGCGUAAAGAAGCACCGGC
rnacentral:rRNA from 1 species